rnacentral:piRNA from 1 species
UGCUCCACUAUCUAAGCAUGCAGUCU